GGCCAGGUAGCUCAGUCGGUAGAGCAGAGCCCUGAAAAGGCUUGUGUCGGCGGUUCGAUUCCGUCCCUGGCCACCA
rnacentral:tRNA from 4 species